rnacentral:rRNA from 1 species
AUUUAACGCUGGCGGCAGGCUUAACACAUGCAAGGCGAGCGGAGCGAGGGUGCUUGCACCUUAGCUUAGCGGCGGACGGGUGAGUAAUGCUUAGGAAUCUGCCUAUUAGUGGGGGACAACAUUCCGAAAGGAAUGCUAAUACCGCAUACGCCCUACGGGGGAAAGCAGGCGAUCUUCGGACCUUGCGCUAAUAGAUGAUCCUAAGUCGGAUUAGCUAGUUGGUGGGGUAAAGGCCUACCAAGGCGACGAUCUGUAGCGGGUCUGAGAGGAUGAUCCGCCACACUGGGACUGAGACACGGCCCAGACUCCUACGGGAGGCAGCAGUGGGGAAUAUUGGACAAUGGGCGGAAGCCUGAUCCAGCCAUGCCGCGUGUGUGAAGAAGGCCUUUUGGUUGUAAAGCACUUUAAGCGAGGAGGAGGCUACUUAGAUUAAUACUCUGGGAUAGUGGACGUUACUCGCAGAGUAAGCACCGGCUAACUCUGUGCCAGCCGCCGCAGUAAUAC